AGGCGGCGGACGGGGGAGUAACGCGUGGGUAACGUGCCUCAUACAGGGGGGUAACAGUUGGAAACGGGCUGCUAAUACCGCAUAAGCGCACAGUACCGCAUGGUACGGUGUGAAAAACUCCGGUGGUAUGAGAUGGACCCGCGUCUGAUUAGGUAGUUGGUGGGGUAACGGCCUACCAAGCCGACGAUCAGUAGCCGACCUGAGAGGGUGACCGGCCACAUUGGGACUGAGACACGGCCCAA
rnacentral:rRNA from 1 species